rnacentral:rRNA from 1 species
UACGUAGGGUGCGAGCGUUGUCCGGAAUUAUUGGGCGUAAAGAGCUCGUAGGCGGUUUGUCGCGUCGGCCGUGAAAACUUGGGGCUUAACCCCAAGCCUGCGGUCGAUACGGGCAGACUUGAGUCCGGCAGGGGAGACUGGAAUUCCUGGUGUAGCGGUGAAAUGCGCAGAUAUCAGGAGGAACACCGGUGGCGAAGGCGGGUCUCUGGGCCGAUACUGACGCUGAGGAGCGAAAGCGUGGGGAGCGAACAGG